rnacentral:rRNA from 1 species
AGUUUGAUCCUGGCUCAGAUUGAACGCUGGCGGCAUGCCUUACACAUGCAAGUCGAACGGCAGCACGGGGGCAACCCUGGUGGCGAGUGGCGAACGGGUGAGUAAUACAUCGGAACGUGUCCUGUAGUGGGGGAUAGCCCGGCGAAAGCCGGAUUAAUACCGCAUACGCUCUACGGAGGAAAGGGGGGGAUCUUAGGACCUCCCGCUACAGGGGCGGCCGAUGGCAGAUUAGCUAGUUGGUGGGGUAAAGGCCUACCAAGGCGACGAUCUGUAGCUGGUCUGAGAGGACGACCAGCCACACUGGGACUGAGACACGGCCCAGACUCCUACGGGAGGCAGCAGUGGGGAAUUUUGGACAAUGGGGGCAACCCUGAUCCAGCAAUGCCGCGUGUGUGAAGAAGGCCUUCGGGUUGUAAAGCACUUUUGUCCGGAAAGAAAACGCCGUGGUUAAUACCCGUGGCGGAUGACGGUACCGGAAGAAUAAGCACCGGCUAACUACGUGCCAGCAGCCGCGGUAAUACGUAGGGUGCAAGCGUUAAUCGGAAUUACUGGGCGUAAAGCGUGCGCAGGCGGUCCGCUAAGACAGAUGUGAAAUCCCCGGGCUUAACCUGGGAACUGCAUUUGUGACUGGCGGGCUAGAGUAUGGCAGAGGGGGGUAGAAUUCCACGUGUAGCAGUGAAAUGCGUAGAGAUGUGGAGGAAUACCGAUGGCGAAGGCAGCCCCCUGGGCCAAUACUGACGCUCAUGCACGAAAGCGUGGGGAGCAAACGGGAUUAGAUACCCUGGUAGUCCACGCCCUAAACGAUGUCAACUAGUUGUCGGGUCUUCAUUGACUUGGUAACGUAGCUAACGCGUGAAGUUGACCGCCUGGGGAGUACGGUCGCAAGAUUAAAACUCAAAGGAAUUGACGG